UAAAUUUUUAGGUGUUUUAUAAGAAUUGAGA
rnacentral:piRNA from 1 species